rnacentral:lncRNA from 1 species
AGUAGGAACUCACUCAAAUUGUUGGGCUUCUUACACUGGGGAUUAUAUUCAAUUUUUAAAAAUUAAAAACAAAUUAUUAAGGGGUUUUCAUUCAUCUUUUUUUAAAGUUCUGAACCAAUAAUAUGAAAUAAAGUAUUAACUGCAGGUUGCAUAGCCAUGGAACCCGGAAUUGGCCAGCCAGCGCCACUUGGGAUGACCAAGGUUGAGGUGUUCGUGCAUCUGCAACACACACUGGAUUCUUUAGAGCUACUGGGUGCAAAUGAUAAACCAGAGAUGAAAGCAAAAGGCCCCAUCUUGACAGGACAUAAGCCUGCAGAUCAUUAUGAAUGAGUGGUCUCAUGACAGGACAUAGCCUUACCCUGUGACUUUCUCCCUCUGUGAGCCUGGCCUGGGAGUGGGAGGUGGGUGAUUGAGCACUAGGUGACUCUGCAAAGAUUACUCUUUAAAGAAAUCACCAUUUCAAUGUCAGGGAAAGAGAGGAGCCAUUUUGGACAGUCAUGUGAAUGACUCAGGGAAUGAGUGGGGGAAACUUUUCUUGCAGCUCAAUCUGACCUUAGCUCAUCCUCUCUCUCUCUCUCUCUCUCUCUCUCUCUCUCUCUCUCGGACCGAAAUCAACCAAAGAAACUGUUGGUUCUGAUUUAAGAAAAACAAGAUUUUUAAUUUUCUUUUCCUUUUGCUUUUUCACAAUGUAAUUCAGUCACCUUUCACUUAUGAUUUCCUUGCACAUAUCGCUGCAAACAAAAUCAAGAUGAAACACUUUCAAUGCGUUGUCUAAGAGACAAUUAGGUGACCAGGUAAUCCAAAUGCAAUAAAAAUGGAUGAGUUUUCCUUUUGCUAACUGACCAGGUCUGACCAGCCACCAGCAUGUAUUGGUAGACUAUGUGCUGGAAAGGGAACCUGACUUGUGUAUGUCUAGAAGUCCAUAGGCUUCAGGGAAGCCUCAGUGCCACCCACGACCCCAGCCAUCCUGGUGGGGAGGCUGCUGAGAACACAGAGGGAAAUUCAGCCUCGGGCCUGAGGGUGCAGCCUUCUUCAGCCCCUUUGCUUCCUUCUUUUCUCUUAGCCCGACACUAGCUCUUUUUUUGUGAGGCCAACAGAUCUUGACUUCCAUAUCCUCAGCACCUUGUGGACCCCACCCUGCAAGCAAAAUAGCAACUACUUGAGAAAAGCCAAAUAUUCAGACUUUGACCUAGGCCUCAAGUUUCCACUAACUCAGCCCCUCCUGACUUGGCUCAAAUAUGCAUCUGCCUCAUCCAAUUCUUUGCCUACUUGAAUCCCAUAAGUCUCUCACACCGUCACCAGCUGACUUUGAGUCAUCAGCAUCCACAUCUAGAUGGAGGGACAGCAAACUCAAUCUCAGGGCUGAAUCCAGAGCAGAAAGGUAGGAAUACGCAUGGUGAAAGACAACAGAAAUAGGAUCUGUAGGGAUGAGAAAAUACACAUGCCACCACCAAGACAUUCAAAGUUGGGUUUUGUUUCUUCCUUUUUUCUUUCCUUUUCUUUUUCUGACAUGGUCUCACUAUGUUGCCCAGGCUGGUCUCAAACUCCUGGGCAUGAAUGAUCCUUCCGCCUUAGCCUCCCAGCUGGGGCCUUGAGAACAAGCAACCAAGCCCAGCUGAAACUCAUGUUCUCAAGCUCUGUGCUAGCCACACAAAUGUGUCUGCCAACAGCACUGCUCACAGCAUAACUGGGGAUCUCCGACUUAGGGCCAACUGGGAUCACAGUUUCUUGAUUCUGACUUAGUGAGUGUGUAUACCUGAAAUAAUGGAGAGCGGGGGAAAUGGAAGUCCCUCUAUUCAGGGCUACUCGGGAUCUGCUGAAUGACAUGAGCAUGUACAUUUGUUAGUCACAUCAUUCUGGACCCAAACACAGGAUUUUUGUGAGGGAAAGUCAGAGGAAGGGAACCGUGGCAUUGCAUGAAAACUCACCUGCCUGCUUCUGGUCACCACCACUUCUGAUUUUAGUUUCUACUGCUGCUACCACAGUGUAACACAGUGCGUGCAGUACACUCGACUCAUAGCCAUUUAAUAACAUAGACUUAGACUCUCUUAUCUGUAAGUGUUCUAACCAUAGUUUAUAAUGGGAAAAUUAUUCAGAUUUCAUUUUUUUUCUUUUCUUUUUAUUUUUUUGGUACCGGGGAUCGAACUUGGGUCCUUGCGCUUGCAAGGCAGGUGGUGAAGCCUCAGAUUUCAUUUUUAAAUGAAUACCUAUAAAUAUGAUGAUUUUGAAAUUGGGUUUGCUAAAUAUAUAUACAUUCUUUUCCUUCUUUGCAUAUGGAUAGACAGUGGUUUGCAUAUCUAUUGACACUAUAAACAUAGAUAAAUCCUUAGAGGAAUUGUUCUUUUUUAAAGGUCUAUUACCAGAUUCACAAUGCACUUUGAGCUUGUUUGUUUAGACAUAUAAUUCAAAGCAGAAGUUGGCAGAU